rnacentral:rRNA from 1 species
CCUACGGGGGGCUGCAGUGGGGAAUAUUGGACAAUGGGGGGAACCCUGAUCCAGCCAUGCCGCGUGUGUGAAGAAGGCCCUCGGGUUGUAAAGCACUUUCAGUGAGGAAGAACGCCUGGUGGUUAAUACCCAUCAGGAAAGACAUCACUCACAGAAGAAGCACCGGCUAACUCCGUGCCAGCAGCCGCGGUAAUACGGAGGGUGCGAGCAUUAAUCGGAAUUACUGGGCGUAAAGCGCGCGUAGGUGGCUUGAUAAGCCGGUUGUGAAAGCCCCGGGCUCAACCUGGGAACGGCAUCCGGAACUGUCAAGCUAGAGUGCAGGAGAGGAAGGUAGAAUUCCCGGUGUAGCGGUGAAAUGCGUAGAGAUCGGGAGGAAUACCAGUGGCGAAGGCGGCCUUCUGGACUGACACUGACACUGAGGUGCGAAAGCGUGGGUAGCAAACAGGAUUAGAUACCCUUGUAGUC